GUCCACGCUGUAAACGAUGCUUGCUGGUUGUGGCGUUCCAUGGUGAAUGCCGUAACGAAGCCAACGCGUUAAGCAAGCCGCCUGGGGAGUACGGCCGCAAGGUUAAAACUCAAAGGAAUUGACGGGGACCCCGCACAAGCGGUGGAGCAUGUGGUUUAAUUCGAAGCAACGCGAAGAACCUUACCUGGGUUUGACAUCUACGGAAGUCGGGGUAAUGCCCGAUGUGCCCUUCGGGAGCCGUAAGACAGGUGCUGCAUGGCUGUCGU
rnacentral:rRNA from 1 species